AGUGAACGCUGGCGGCAUGCCUUACACAUGCAAGUCGAACGGCAGCACGGGUGCUUGCACCUGGUGGCGAGUGGCGGACGGGUGAGUAAUACAUCUGCACCGGUACUUUAGUUGGGGAUAGCGCGGCCAAAGCCGGACUAAUACUGCAACCGCACUACGGAUGCGAGCGGAGGCAGUUGAGCCCUCGCCCUUGCGGGUUUGAAGGUGGCGGAGUAGCAAGUUGGUGGGGUAAAGGCCCACCAAGGCGACGAUCCGUAGCUGGUCUGAGAGGAAGAACAGCCACACUGGAACUGAGACACGGCCCAGACUCCUACGGGAGGCAGCAGUGGGGAAUUUUGGACAAUGGGCGAAAGCCUGAUCCAGCAAUGCCGCGUGUGUGAAGAAGGCCUUCGGGUUGUAAAGCACUUUUGUCCGGAAAGAAAAGCUUGGCCCUAAUACGCUCGGGUGAUGACGGUACCGGAAGAAUAAGCACCGGCUAACUACGUG
rnacentral:rRNA from 1 species